CCCGCUCCGGGCGCGCGGGAGGGGGCGGCAGGCUGGGCCGGGAGUAGAGAGGGGUGGGGGGAGAGGGAGAGGGUUGGAGUUCCUCCCGGAGGGGCAUGGCUGGGACGUGCUAGCACAGGGCAGGUCGCUGAGGUUGGCAGCUGGAGCAGGGGGUCUCCUGGAGCACUGGCUGCAGGGACAGGACUGAGGUGGGGUCACUGCUGUGUCUUCCUUCAGUACGCCACGGAGCAUCAUCCAAGGUCAUAUUUAUGCCUGUUUUCUAGAAGCCAAGGAAAGGUCACUUGUCAAGGUCAUCUGGUGCCUAACGAGUCUCUCCAGUCCAAAUACAUUUUUAAUUCCGUCAUUCCCUGUAAAGCAAACAAGUGGGAAUUGUUGAUGUAAGAUAGAUGUUGGGGUCAUGCCAGCACUAUAAUUACCUUGUGACAGGGUGUUAGGAUUAGGGAUAUGGGAGAUGGCAGAAAGAGCUGGCAGCUGUGGAGGACAGGAGUGCGGCUGGGCCAGGCACUUCAGCAGUGGAUGAGGGGAAAAGCAGCAGUCAAGGUAAGGCAGUGCAGUGCAUGACACAAAGCUUUCUUAGUUGUAGGACAGGAAAAUCUCAGGGCUGUCUUCAUUUUUUUUCCUUUCUUUUUGACUGCACUGUGAUUUGGGGAAGGGAGUUUGAUUCAUGACAGACUACUUUUUUUCCAACAAUCCAGUGAGAAAACAACAGCAAAACCAGGCUGUAGCAUCUGUGUUUGAAACAGAGAAAUGAAAUCCAAGAUUAAAGACAAGUCUGAUUUUGUGAAGACAAAAACAAACAAUUGAUAGGUGGAAUGUUCAGAACUGUUUAUCCGUAGUUUUAAUUCUCCUGACAGGGAAAAAAAAAUCUGGCACGUCACUUCAUGGCUUUCAUCAGCUUAUGAGAUUGUACUACUCUGAUAAAUAUAAUCAUAAUUUGCUCUUACUAAUUUUUUUAAUAAGUGGAAAUUCAGUGUGGCUGUUGCUUACAGCACACAAGGUGCUAUAACUAAUCAGAGGGAGAAAAAAAGGUAUGAAAAGAAGAUGGAGAAAGUGAGAAUAAAUUUAGGUCCAUUAGGAAUUCCAUUUGAGGGAAUGAGUUGCAAAAGUAGAAAUAAUUGAGAGCACUUUGGAAUUGCAAAGUGUAAAAAAUGGGGACAAAGGGUAUUACAGGUUUUGGAAUGAAAAGAAUGUUUCUGAGAGCAUUUUUUAUAUUUUUGUGUGCAUGUUUAAUGGAGAGAAGAGACUGGAAGUAAAAUUAGAGAUGAGAAAGAUCCAUUAACAUCCAUAGGGCCUAAGAGAAUCAGGUAGAUAUAAGCAGUGGAUACAUUUCUCUGAUGUUCUAAGUAUUUAUAAUAACAUAAUAAUAUAAUAUAACUGUGUCAUUUAAACUAGCAUAUUAUGUUCUCCUGAACCCUUCUUCAUCCCCUGGAGAAAUCCCACUGUGACAGGCUCACUCAAUGGUAUGAGAAAAGUAGAUGGCAAUGGUAUGUGCCUUUCUAGUUCUCUUGGGCACUGCCAAAUGGCUCACGUAACAGCUGAGCUGUACCCACUGCUCAUCGAGGACAUUAAUUUGACCCUUCCUUCUCUGCAUGAGUGCCAGCUCUCAGUGGAGCUGCGUGGGUGUAGUUAUCCCUUAGGCUUUGCAGCUCCUAUUUCAAAUUGCCUGAUGACUUCAGAAGUUAUCAGGGGCAGAGUCAAAGGCUAAGAUGAAAAUACAGAAAGCAGUUGCAUUCUGAAAUGAGGAUACAAUUAUUGUAUGGGUAUUUUAUGAGGUGCCUGCUGCUUACCAGAAAGUGUCCAUCCCAGAACUGUGGAAAGCAACAGGUGGGUGAGGAUUUGUGUGUGAAGCGCUUGGCUGCUGUGCUGUGCUCGGAGGAGGAGAAAGGGGAGGAGGAGGGAGGAAGUGUCAUCUCCUGCUCCUGCUUCGUUUCUGCAAACGCUGUCACACAGCUGAAGCAGGCAGAGCACCUCGCAGCCAUGUUAGGUAAGGGCAGCAGGAGCCAACUCUGUCCCUCCUUCUUCUGGGCAGGAAGUCAUGAAAAUGUUAUGAUAGCCAUCGUCGCUGAGGGCAGAAAGAGCCUGCUCCAUAGC